rnacentral:rRNA from 1 species
UAGACCGCCUGGGGAGUACGGCCGCAAGGUUAAAACUCAAAUGAAUUGACGGGGGCCCGCACAAGCGGUGGAGCAUGUGGUUUAAUUCGAUGCAACGCGAAGAACCUUACCUGGUCUUGACAUCCACAGAAUUCUGCAGAGAUGCGGAAGUGCCUUCGGGAACUGUGAGACAGGUGCUGCAUGGCUGUCGUCAGCUCGUGUUGUGAAAUGUUGGGUUAAGUCCCGCAACGAGCGCAACCCUUAUCCUUUGUUGCCAGCGAUUAGGUCGGGAACUCAAAGGAGACUGCCAGUGAUAAACUGGAGGAAGGUGGGGAUGACGUCAAGUCAUCAUGGCCCUUACGACCAGGGCUACACACGUGCUACAAUGGCGCAUACAAAGAGAAGCGACCUCGCGAGAGCAAGCGGACCUCAUAAAGUGCGUCGUAGUCCGGAUUGGAGUCUGCAACUCGACUCCAUGAAGUCGGAAUCGCUAGUAAUCGUGGAUCAGAAUGCCACGGUGAAUACGUUCCCGGGCCUUGUACACACCGCCCGUCACACCAUGGGAGUGGGUUGCAAAAGAAGUAGGUAGCUUAACCUUCGGGAGGGCGCUUACCACUUUGUGAUUCAUGACUGGGGUGAAGUCGUAACAAGGUAACCGUAGGGGAACCUGCGGUUGGAUCACCUCCUUACCUUAAAGAA